UGGGAUUGGAAUCCGCUUUGACUCCUGCUUUCCAGCGAUGAUGGAAUUGCGUAUUUGUCAACACUUCCCAUGGAGGCCAUACAAACAAAUGCACAAUUCCAUCAUGCGGGCAAGCAGGAGAGGUGCGAGGAAAAGUUCAUGUCUCCA